GGACCAGCAUGUGAUUUAAUUCUGCCAAUCACACGCAUUUGUGUGAGACUUGAUUUGGGGCCUCAGUUAAGUUAGGGAGAGGCAGAAGUGGAGGCAUAAUUUUGCUGGUGCAGACUGGCCCAGAAUCAGCAAGGUUCUGCAGUCACUGGAGUCCAGAUUGGGUGGUUUCCUGCAGCCGCAGCAGUUUUCCCAGUCACAGAAGAAACAACACGGUUCUGGGAGCAGGAGGUUGUUUCUGGAAGCUUUGCCGAGACUCUAAGCCCAAGAUCCUCCCUUCCAGCUCCUUCAGUGAUUCUGUAAACCACUGAGUACCUGAUGAAUCGCUCCUUCCUUAAACUAGCCAAGAUGGUUUCUGCUGUCUGCAACUGAACCCUAACAGAUGGACUGACCGACUUUUAGUUAUUUAACUGAACCAAGAUCGUGCUUUAGAAUGUGAGUUUUGUAAUCUUCCUGGCUGAACUUGAACCCCAUUCCAGCACUUAAUGCGCUAUGUGACGUUGGGUAAGUCACUUCAUCUCUCUAGCCUCAGUUUUCUCAUUUGCAGAAUAGGAAUAAAAAUAGCAUCUACUCCAGAGAGUGUUUGAGGAUAAAAUGAGAUGAUAUUGGUAUAGUAGCUGGUUCCUAAUAAGAGUUCACUAAAUGUUAGCUUUUAUAAUUAUAAUUAAGUAUUAUUGCUAUUUCCUUACUCUGGGCCUUAUAAUUUGCUUUAUUACGCUGAGAGCGUUCUUUCGCCUGCUCUGAACCCAAUUAACUCUCACUCAUCCUUCAAGAUUUGACUUACAAAUCACUUAUGCAAGAGCUACUUCCUGGUCCAAUUCAAUUAUGUCUACCUUCUUGGUUUUCUCUCAUAAUGGCAUUUUUUCCUCUUAGAGCACUCAUCAAAAGUUUCACCUACAUAUACAUUUUUUCUAUGUUUACAUAUUUAAUUCUAAUCUCCCCCAUGGAGCCACAAGUUCCAUGAAGGCACGAGUCAGAACUGCCCAAGCCCUGUCAUCCAGCCAGCAUCCAGCAUCUUGCUGGGCACACGAAUGAGCUCAGGAAACAUUUCUCAGAUGAAUGACCCAGUCAUCUGGUGGCAAAUGUAACAAAAGUUGCUGAACACGUGAACACUGUGUCACCAGCCCAUUCUCAUUUAGGGAGCCCAGGCCUGCUUGGACAUAAAACAACCCAAAAUGAGUUUGAAAAAUUAUCUGAAAGUGUACCUCAUAAUAUUAAGUUACAUAUUGAUAGCACUCUACAGUUUUCCAAGCUCUUUUAGAUAUGUUAAUUCUUUUAAUCCUUACAGUAAGCCAAUUAUCUUUUUAUCACCUCUUACAGAAAAGGAGAUGCAGUCUCCAAGGUGUUUGCAACAGGCCCAGCAUCACACAGAUAGGCAGAGGCACAGUUCAUGCAUCUCUGCUAGGACACAUGAGUUCCAACCCUGGCUUUGCCACUUUUUUGCUGUAUGGCCUUGGGUAAAUUACUCAAUCUCUCUGAGAUGGUUUCCUCAUCUGUGAAAAGAAAAUAAUAGUAUACGUGUUGUUGGGAAGCUUAUAUGUAUAAAAUCUGAGUUGUGCACUGGGUAAAUAGCAGAUAAUCCAGAUCUUAGUACCAUCAUCAUCAUCAUUAAAUCAGUCAGUUUCACUCAGCAAGAUGGUGCAACAGGCUUCUCCAUUAGACCCCGGGAUUCUAGACCAUUGAUACCUUAGAAUUACAUAUGUUAAUCAAAGCUACAGCAUGGAUUCCAUCCUCCAUUUCAUUAACUGAGAGAUUUAAUGCCCCACGUAUCAGGCCCAGAUACACAAAUGUAGCUUACUCCAUCUCUGCAGCCAGACUGGAACUCCCCAUUGCAGAGGCUCCUUUCUCUAGAGAGCUUUGCACGUAGAUUUUCGUUAUUUAUCAAUGGGUAAGCAAUAAGCACAAAAAGCUGUGGGUAGGAAAUCCAAAGGGCUUCAAGAAAUAGAUCUACUUCAGGACAAAUUCUGAAGCGUAGAUGAUCCGAAUCAGAGCCAAAGGCUCCUGGCUCAAUGCUCAGAAUUUUUUAAACCUUAGGCCAGAAAAACCAAACAGUCCUGUAUCCCGUUUCUGGGAGGAAACCAACACUCUGAUGAGCAGACUGGUGGUCAGAACGCCACAGACAACACAUGGCUUUUGCUGUUGUUCAGGCUGGCCUGGUGAGGCCAUCGUGGAGCAGGUGUGACCCUGUCCAGGGAACUCAGUGAAGUGAGGACAGACAGCGGGAUUAGACUGGGUGACAGGGGUGAGUACUGAGGUGUAUGUGUUCAGCAUCCUCUAGAUGCUACCUGCUCUAACCACACAUAAAUUGCAUAUAACCAAUGCCUUUCAAAGGGGUUAGAAGGGCUCCCAGUUCCUUCCUCAAGGCUAUGACUUCAACAUCUUGAAUAUUCAUCUUAAUAAGGAUCCCUGGCUUUAAUCCUAGGAGACUGACCACAUCAUUUCCUGUUUGCGACUCAGCUGAACACAAUGGAUGGGACUCAGAACUCUGGCUCUCCCACGACAGCAGGUCUCACGUCUUCACUGACCCUCUCAUUGAGGUCCUGGCCAUUGUGUUUCCACAUUGACAAAGAGAAAACUUCUUCCUCACAGUGAUAAAGGCUGUUCAGAUAUGGCGGAGGCACCAAAAAGCAGUGACUUUGUGGUCAAACUGUAAGUGACGAGAAACUAAGCUUGUUAGUAAACCCAUCUCUGCAGUGUUGGUUCAGAGCUUCACAUCUUAAUCAUAAGGAUACCAGCUGCUAGCCCGGGAAAACAGCUAGUGUGACUUGAAAUAAUAUAGCCAACCUUUAUUUAACGCUUACCUUUUGCCAAACACUGCACUAGGUUUUGGGGAAAUUAACCCUUUAAUCUUUAUCACAGGAGGUUGAAAUACAUACUAUAAUUAUCCCCAUUUCAGACGAAAGAAUAGAAGUCAAGUACCUUUUCUGAGGUCACACAGCUAGGAAGCAACAGAAAGGAUGCUCAAACUCGGGUCAACCUGACCUGAAAGUCAUCCUCAGUGUAGCUCCACACAAGGUCCUUUCACUCCCCCAGGCCAACUAUCACUAAAGUCAGCUCCAAAGGGAUCACAUUCCUCUUGUCCCUUCAUCCAUUAGGUAUCAACAUAGAAGUCCCCUCCUCCAGAAGCUUCCUUGCUCCCCACUUGCUUUAGGCUCCCUUAUGUAUGCAGAUAGCACUCAAUACCUCUUCGUCACAGCCCUCCUUGUAAUAUCUGAUCUCUCCCACUAGCCUGGGGGCUCACGGAGGGCAGGGGCCAGGUCUGUCAUGUUCACAGUGAGAACUCUAUUGGGUAAGAGAGUGUCUUGCCCCUCAAAGGCACCCAAGAGAUGCUUGUGGGACAUGGAUUCAUGAACAAAGAUGAUACCCCACGAGGGUUCUUUUUAUAAUGUGAGAGCAGAGGACCUCACUACUUCUCUCCAGAACUUCCUUUGUCCUGGGAAUCAGAGAAGCAGGUGAAGCCGGGGGCACGCUUUUUGAAAAUGCUGUAAGUCCCCUAAUAAUGCUGAUCCUUUGAUUGUAAAGGAGCUCAAAUUUCUUUGUGGGAUGUGAAAACCAGCGAUGUCAUAAACAUACCACAUGGCAACUAUUAUUUUAGCUCUCUUAUAGUGGCAACAGAGGGAGAGGAAGUUUGGUGUCCUGACAUACGUUCACGAAGGUCAAUCUUUAGGAUAUUAAGGGUCCUGUCGUCAGCAAUGAUAGUUGCAUUGGAGGACAGCUCUCGGGAAACCACGGUCUUGCCUCUUUACAGCUAAGCAAGACCGGCUGAAGGAUGUGUGGGACCCAGUGCAAAUGAAAAUGUGGGUCCCCUUGUUCAAAAAUUAUUAAGAAUUUCAAGAGAGUGACAGCAGAGAACUAAACCAAGCGUGGGGCUCCUCUAAGCACAGGUCCCUUGGCAAAUGCACAGGUGUUACAUCCAUGAUAUCUGUCCUGCUCCUGCCACUUGCAAAGCUCUUACUAAGCUUUUCACUGAUUAUUUAUUUCAUUUCAUUUCAUCCUCAUAACAGCUGCACGAGGUAGAUACUUAUACAGACCAGACAUUUUGGCAUCAAAGGUUUUAUUCUAACUGAAUGGUGGAAAGGCACCAAAAGGUAGAAAGGACUAGAAUAAGAGGGAGACAAGGAGGCAAGGGAAGCUGACCCAGUCUGGCCAAUCCCAGUUAAAACUCAAUGGGACCUUUCUCUGUUUGACCUUUGAUAGCGAAACACGGCCUGAGCAGAGUAAAAGUUUUCAGAUAGUUUAACCCAAGGAAAUAAUUGUCCGCCCAGCAUAGAGGACAACAAGUAUUAUUAAUCCUCUCCCUCUGUUUCUCAAGAAGCAGGACCACUGAAAGUCACAAAUACUCUCCCCCUAGUUGUUGGACCAGCCUCCUUCCAUCAGCCUUUCCUGAUCUCAGUGAACACCGACCCCUAACAGCGCUCUGUGGCCACCAUCGCAUUAGGCGUGGGUGCUUGAGGACUGGAUGAGCAGAAAAUGAAGGAAACAAAGACCAUUUCUCUCUGGCCACCAUUUCCCUCUUCUUACAGCUGCAUAGCUCCCCUCGCCUCCGACCAGAGGGUGAACAGCGGGUCUGAGAGGGCUGGGGGAGCAGCCAUCCUUUCCAGGGCACGGCACUUUUAAUUAAAAGCUUAGGUUUGGCAGGAAAAGCCUUAAAGUACUUGAAAAAACAAGGCAUAUUUUAAAACAAGUCUCAGUGGCAUUUUAUGAUGAGAUUUACACAGACUCAUAAGAUUUAACUAAAGAGCAGUUGUUAAUACAACAUACACAGUAUUACCAAAGGUUUCUAAAUGUGGGCAUUGGCCUGAACUGGAAUCCUAUACUAUUAAUAAGCCCAAACAGAAUCAAACACCAACUAAAUGUUGCUCCCUCACCUACAGAAUAAUUCCAGCAAAAAACUAUUAAGCUAGCUUUUCAUUGCAAAGAGUUAGUGUUAACUUUUAUGUUAAAAAGCUAUUGGGGGGGGGCUGGCCCCGUGGCCGAGUGGUUAAGUUUGCGCACUCCGCUGCAGGCGGCCCAAUGUUUCGUUGGUUCUAAUGCUGGGCGCGGACAUGGCACUGCUCAUCAAACCACGCUGAGGCAGCGUCCCACAUGCCACAACUAGAAGGACCCACA
rnacentral:lncRNA from 1 species